GUUGGGGUGAUGUCAGCAAGGUAUGAAUGUGUGGCAUCUGGAAUAAGACACUCAAAAGGUUCAUCUGGGAGUACAGAAGAUUCACCAAAGAUGUUGAGCCAUCUCUAUAUCUGUAAAAAGAUGGGAAAAGAUACUCCAAGCAAAUGAGACUAGGAAAUAAGCAGGCAUCCCUUUUCUAAAAUCUACCAACAUAAACUUCAAGCCAAACUAGUCAGAAGAGAGAAAGGUCAUGUCCAUCAACUGCAAGAAGCAUCCAUCAAGAGGAUAUUGCAAUUCUAAAUAUCUAUGCACCGAACACUGAAGCAUUCAGUUUUAUAAAACAAACAAACAAAAAAAAUUGCUAUUCAUAAAGUUACAGAUUAA